rnacentral:rRNA from 1 species
AACGAACGUUGGCGGCGUGGAUUAGGCAUGCAAGUCGAACGAGAACCGGGUAGCAAUACCCGGGGAAAGUGGCGAAAGGGGCAGUAAGGCGUGGGUAACCUACCCUGGGGUUGGGCAUAGCCGGUCUAACGACCGGGUAAUUCCCAGCGACGUCAUUUGGGGGCAUCUCCGGAUGACCAAAGAUUUAUCGCCCCGGGAGGGGCCCACGUGAUAUUAGCUUGUUGGUGAGGUAACGGCUCACCAAGGCAAAGAUGUCUAGCGGGUGUGAGAGCACGACCCGCGCCACUGGCAAUGAGACACUGGCCAGACUCCUACGGGAGGCUGCAGUCGAGGAUCUUCGGCAAUGGGCGCAAGCCUGACCGAGCGACGCCGCGUGUGCGAUGAAGGCCUUCGGGUUGUAAAGCACUGUCGAGGGGGAGGAAGCCGAAAGGUUGACCUAUCCCUGGAGGAAGCACGGGCUAAGUUCGUGCCAGCAGCCGCAGUAAUAC